ACGCUCGACACCUACGGGAAGCAGCAGUGGGGAAUAUUGCACAAUGGGGGAAACCCUGAUGCAGCGACGCCGCGUGAGCGAAGAAGUAUUUCGGUAUGUAAAGCUCUAUCAGCAGGGAAGAUAAUGACGGUACCUGACUAAGAAGCUCCGGCUAAAUACGUGCCAGCAGCCGCGGUAAUCUGAGCGGGCUGGCAAGGC
rnacentral:rRNA from 1 species